ensembl:lincRNA Gm28856 predicted gene 28856
CCACAGGUGGACGGAGUCUGAUGGAGAGAAGACAAGGGUACAUAGAUUGGAUGGGUUGACAUGCCCUAACCUAGAGAGAAGAUGGGGCCAUGUAUUUCCUAAGUAAGGCCAGCUUCAGGGGCUACUGCCCACAGCUAAAUCAAGCACCCAGAGGCAUAGUGGAACAAGUGCCUAUGGAAAGACCUCAGGCCAGCAAGGGGAUUCUAAGAAAAUUCGAGGAAAUACUAACUUCCCAAGCAAGGAAAUGGAGGCUCCAUGAAGCAGAAGAACCUUCCAGUCCCGGCUUCCUCAGCCACAUUGUCACAGGCUGACUUGACUGUCAGGUGUCCCGGCCAUCAUAAGCUGAAUGCCAAUACAACACCAGGGGUGGCAUAUAAUCCUGGUGCUCAAGAGACUGAGGUGGGAAGACUGCUGCUCAUUCAAGGCCAGCCUUGGAGACACAGUAUACAAGGCCAAAGCCAGCCUGAGCUCCAUAGCACAUGCUAGACCAAGGCCAGCCUGAACUACAAGUUUGAGCCUAUGAGAGAAUGAUUCCAAACUGUCUGAGGUGAUUGAAAUCAGUUAACAAGUCAGACCAGUGACAGCAUGAAACAUGGUGGAAAGAGUCUUUUGGAAGUAAGUGGUUGACUUAAUAAACUUUUUAGACCAAACUUUUAGACCAAAGUAAAUGUUAUAAAUCUAAUCAAGUUCUAGAUUUUAAAUUUGCUUUAUUCUUCCCACACUGUGUGUGUGUGUGUGUGUGUGUGUGUGUGUGUGUGUAUACAGAAGCUCAUGAUGUAAAACAGAGGUGUGGAGGUGUCAGAAGAUAAUGUGUGGGAGUUGGUUCUCUCCUUCCACCUUUAAGUGGAUGCUGAGGCUGUCAAGCAUGGGUGAUAAGACCUUUAGAUACUGAGCCACUUGCCAACCUUCAGGUCCUUUUGAGUGUAGAGAUAGUAAAUAUCUAUUAUUAGAAGCAUCAAAAGCAAGCAUCAAUAAAUUGAACCUUCGGCUCUUCCUUAAAUAUCUACAAAUAUAUUGUUCCUUUCAGUAGGCUGGAUAGACAAAACUAAACAGCUGAUCCUUUCCAUAUUUAAACCUAUAUUUAUCCAAAAGUUCACACUUCUCAGCUUUGAGGAUAAAUACAACUUCUUUCCUGAUUUUAUAAUUCUGUGGAAUUCAGUUGGUACUGUCCAUGGACUGCUAUCUGCAUGGACUUAAUACAAAGGAGUCAGGAGAACCAGACAGCAGUGUCUCCACUGCAACGUGAAUCACUACACAGCAUCUCAAAGACUGACAGAGGGAGCUUGUCACGCAGUGCAUGCUGGGAUUUGGGAAACCGAAGUGAACUCAGCGCACACCUGUAACCUUAGCACUAAACCAUCAACUCCAGGUCAGCUUGGGAUAUGUAGCAAGACUCCGUCUAAAAGGAAAAGACCUCAUCGUUUAUGACUUCAAGUCAUUAGACUAAGGCUCACAGUAUUUCUACUAUUACUUUUGGGAAUAAACACUUCAAUUUCCAGAGCAAAAUCUUAAAUCUCAUUUGAACAAUGCACUCAGUUUAACAGGAUGCUUUUGGGGUGACACGGUUAUUGAUAUUAUUUUGUUUUAGAAUAGAGUCUCAUAUCAUCCUUAAGCUUGAGAUCCCCCAACCUCAGCCUCCCAGUGUGGGGAGGGGUGAUGUGCACAUGUCUGGCUCCUGUCAGAGUGCUUUGUGAAAUAUAGCAUCAUACAACGCAGAAGCAGACAGUUAGUUACAUUUACUUCAUGUGUAAGACCCACAAUAAAAACAGUGAUCAUUUAAGUCAUGGUACAAAAACCACAUAAAAUUAGAGCCUGUUUUUCAGCUAUUCUUUGACUAUUUUUCAAUCUGUAAAAGGCACUAUGGGACAUUCAAUAAGGCCUAGAGACAGAGCUGUCACAGGCUGCAGCUUUGAUCUGUGUGCCAUGAUAAUACUGGCGACAAAUAAAUAACAGUCUAAAGCUGAGGAUUUAAGAAGAAUCUGAGCCUUUGGUGAUGCUGUCGGAUCUGUUAUGUGGAUUUUUUUUGGACAUAAUGUGAAUAAAUGACAGUCGCACAACAUUAGGGCUUAAGAAUCUUAAGUGAUCAACUGAAAUAAUUAUGAGGAGCUGGGGAGAUAGCUCAGUGGUUAAGAGCACUGGAUUAAGAUUGGUUAAGAGUGGUUAAGAGGUCAUCUCCCAGAGGACCUGGGUUUCAUUUCUAGAAUCCAUGUGAUCUUUCACAACCAUCUCUAACUCCAGUUCCAGGGGAUCCAACUCCCUCUUCUGUCUUUUGUCAGCACUAGGAAUGCACCUGCCAUUAAAAUAAUAAUAAUAAAUGUAAAUUAAAGAAAUGCAUACCAAUCAUUUGGAGGACCUGAGUUCAGUUCUCAGCAUACACAUAGCAGUUUACAGCUGUCUGUAACUCCAGUUCCAGAAGGAUCUGAGACCGUUUCCUGGAGUCCAGGAGACCCAGGCGCUCACACGGUAUGUUUACAUACCUGUAGACAAAACACUCAAAUACAUGAAGUAAAAAUAAACAACAGUGACUCAUUUGUCUGGACUUUGUAAAAUUACUUGUUUCCAAUUGGAAUUAAAUUAAGCUAAGCACAUUCUCCAGAAGGGUUCCAGGUCGCCAACGACUUGAUGACCAGAUUAUAUGCUAACUAAAAGUAGCCUGAAGAACGAACAGCCUUUUCUGUUCACCGAACAGAGCUGUCAAAUUCUUUCUGUCAGCUGGGUUCCCCCUAGUGGCCCACACAAGUUACUUAGCCAGCAGAUCAAAGCAGCUCAUCUUACAAGGUGAUGCAGAAGGUAACAGGUAAAUUUAGUUCCCUUAACUCAAUGAAAAAGAGCUUCUUC